UGGGGAAUUUUGGACAAUGGGGGAAACCCUGAUCCAGCCAUCCCGCGUGUGCGAUGAAGGCCUUCGGGUUGUAAAGCACUUUUGGCAGGAAAGAAACGUCAUGGGUUAAUACCCCGUGAAACUGACGGUACCUGCAGAAUAAGCACCGGCUAACUACGUGCCAGCAGCCGCGGUAAUACGUAGGGUGCAAGCGUUAAUCGGAAUUACUGGGCGUAAAGCGUGCGCAGGCGGUUCGGAAAGAAAGAUGUGAAAUCCCAGAGCUCAACUUGGGAACUGCAUUUUUAACUACCAGGCUAGAGUGUGUCAGAGGGAGGUGGAAUUCCGCGUGUAGCAGUGAAAUGCGUAGAUAUGCGGAGGAACACCGAUGGCGAAGGCAGCCUCCUGGGAUAAAACUGACGCUCAUGAACGAAAGCGUGGGGAGCAAACAGG
rnacentral:rRNA from 1 species